rnacentral:tRNA from 1 species
GGGAUUGUGGCUUAGUGGUAGAGCGCUCGCCUGGCACGUGCGGGGCCCUGGGUUCAAUCCUCAGCACCA